rnacentral:RNase_P_RNA from 2 species
GAAGCGGUCUGGGAAAACGCUUUAUAUUUUUUUGAGCGGCAUAGCCGUUCAAUUAAUUUAAAGAGGAAAGUCCGGGCUCCAUAUAACAACGUAGCGGGUAAUGCCCGUCCGCCGCAAGGCGCGGAUUAGAGCCACAGAGACGAGUCUUCCUGCUUUUUGUAGGAAGGGUGAAACGCGGCAAUCUCUACGCGGAGCAAGGCCAAAUAGGGAAGGAAUAAAUUUUAGGGGCAGUUUACGGAUUGUCUUUAAACUUUAUACGGGGCAGUUAGUUCCGUUAAAACUUCCGGGUAGGUUGCUAGAAUAUGCCAGUAAUGGUAUAUCCAGAGGAAUGUUUUCCGCCUGAUUGCGAAAUCAGAUACAGAACCCGGCUUAUAGGACUGCUUCUUUU